AAGUCAAAGAUAAUUGUCCAAUUAAAUGGGUUCAAAUAAGGCCAAUCUAACAGUAGGAAACUUAAUCAUGCAAUAAUUCUCUUGUAAUAAUUGGCUUUUUCUUGCAGGACCACAAUUACAUGGGUCCGAACAAGACUUGCAAGUUUCAGUUGCUGCUCUUCACAGGUGCUUCCAAAAACUAUAGCCUAACUAAAUACAAAGCUGUUUUACACAUGUUUCAAAGAAAGCUGUGACCCAGCAAUACAUUAUUGACUACGUUUCCUGUAAAUCUCCUUCCAUUUUGGAAGUAAAUUAGGAGAACUGAGUGUUAUAUCUCCAAUUUUUAACUGAGAAAUCAGUGUUUGUUCACCAAGUUUUGUUGUAAUGAUUCCGUCGGUCUCGGGUCGGUGUCGGCUACCAACAGCUUCAGCUUCAUUUCUUAUUGCAAAUUUUCUCAAAUAAUGCAUCUAUAUGUCCCACAAGGAGUCACAUAAAUAGUAAGGGAAAUUAUCAGGUAGACCCAGUCUACUACACCAUUUGUAGACUAAAUCAAGAAAAUCAUUUUAUGGUAAUACAAUCAUGAAUAAAUAUGUGAUUUAAUUUUCUGCACAAACAUUCAUAUGGAUGAAAGAUAUUUAUGCAUUCGCUAUAAUACAAACAAAUGCACAUAGUCUUCGAAAAACAGGACCUUCAAAUUUAAUUAACAAACUUCUUUUUUCACCCCUUCUGCGUAUGCCAUAAUCGAUAUCAUGCUUAUACUUUAAUGAGUCUGUGAUGCCAUGAUCAUGGUGAAUAAGAGCAUUGAUCAAAUAUACAAGCAUCUUUCACAAACCUCCCAUGAACUCGAAGUUUCUUAUGCUUACUUCACCUUAUUGUUCUUACCUGACAGACAAGUGACUAGCAUUAGGAGAGAAGUUCCCCUAAACUACAGUCUUCACCUGGAUUGAUUGGGACGCUGUUGAACUUGCACGUGCUGGAGUUAAAUCUGAGACCACCAAAACAGCAUCUCCUGCUUUUAUCACGCCCUUUGUUCUCAUGAGAUCAAUUGUUUUUAAGAUGUUGUCUUCCAUAUCAUCUGAUAAAUCAACAAGGAGGGGGGUAACUCCCCACCUUAAAUUCAAAGCCAUCUGAGUUGCACUAUCACUUGUGAAUGCAAAUAUGGGAGAAUAUGGGCGGUUGCGGGACAGAAGUGACGCCAUUUCUCCAUGCUUUGUAUACACAAAGAUUGCAUCUACUCCAAGGUUGUUAGCUGCAGAACAAGCACAGCAUUGUAAAUUUCAAAAAUCUACCUGAGAACUUGGGGUAUUACACCAAGUCAAUAUUUUAUGUGAGAUCAUAUAAGCACACGAAUGGGAGUGAGAAAUUCAAGUACAUAUACAUGGUCGACAGGAUACAAGCAUGAUUUACUUUAAUGCCCCAACUGUUCUUGGAAACUGAUAGUUAACAUUGAAUGAACAGAAGCCAAGUGUUCUCGAACAAGAAUUAAAGCUCUGUUUGGCUUUAAGAAUCCUUUUAAAAAGGAUCGAAAAAUUGAUCAGCAUCUAUUACAUGACCAAGGCACCUCUGUUACUUUCCUACAUCAUUAUUUAACAAUGAACAGAAAUUUAAUUUAUAAAAAAAAGAAAAAAAAAGUGAAGUUAC
rnacentral:misc_RNA from 1 species